UAAACUAACGAAGAAGACUCUAAGUUUUCAGGAAUGUUCCAUGGUCAAUAUCAUUGCAAAAGUCAACAAGAAAUGGAGUAUUAUUCUGUAGAAGAUGCAGCAGUUCCUCUUUAAAUAGUUACUCAUUACUUAUUUUGCUGUGGAACAAAAACAUUGGGUGGAAUUCCCAUUACUAGAAACAUUGUUAACCUUUUGCAGCAGAUCAGCCAUAUUUAGCAGUUGCUGUUCCUGUUUUCAGCUAGUUCCACAGAAUGAGUUAAUAAAAUGUCAUUACUAUUUGAAGGGUAUUGGACUUGGAGGCAAGAACAGCAGAGAUAAGUGAAUGUGUAUGUUUAAGGCUCUUAAUUAUGAAAUCAUUGGUAAAACUAAUCAGGACUUAGACCAAAAGAGAACCAGAAUAUUAUUGUUUUAGCACCUAUGAGGAGUCACAUAGAAAAAAAAAAAAGCUAGAAAUGAAUAAUGUUGUUACUAUCAAAUUAAAAAUAUUAACUGAAAAAAAAUUUUAAAUAUAUCAAAGUAGAAAGAAAUCAUUAAAGGACAACUGUGGUUAGAUGGUAGUCACCAAUUUUUAAUUUUUAUUAUCUUCUUAGUUGUAAUCAUACUCUAUAUGUUUGUAUCCUGUUUUAUAAUUUAAUACUUCAAUGAAAAAUAGCCAACAUUCUGGCUCUUCUCAACCUAUUAAAGUUAAGUAAUUCAUAGCUUUAAAAAUACAUCUCGGAGUUCCUGUCGUGACGCAGGGGAAAUGAAUCUGACUUGGAACCAUGAGGUUGCAGGUUCGAUCCCUGGCCUUGCUCAGGUUAAGGAUCCAGCGCUGUCGUGAGCUGUGGUGUAGGUCACAGACACAGCUCGGAUCCCGCGUUGCUGUGGCUCUGGAGUGGGCCAGUGGCUACAGCUCCGAUUAGACCCCUAGCCUGGGAACCUCCAUAUGCUGCGGGUGUGGCCCUAAAAGGACAAAAAGACAAAAAAAUUUAAAAAUACAUCUCAAAACUACACUGUAGAAAAUAUUAAAAGCAUAUAUACAAAAGCAAAGUAUAACUAGAGAAUAACUAGGACAUAAAAUUAUUGAAAUUUUCUGGUGUGUGUGAUUGCUUAGGCUGUCAUGAAGCAAAAUAUGUAAUUAUCUGAGUGUUUUCACUUGAACAUGGUAUUCUAUACAGGUAGAUCAGUUGCAGAAGUUUAUUUUGGAGCUUGAAUUGUCUGGAUUUUCUUACUACCUUGAUUUUCUAUAAAUGUCUAUAGUGUUUACAAUGGUACACACACAAAACACACACAGAAAUGUGUAAACACAGUGUCAAGCCCAAGAUCAGCCCAAGACCACUGGCAACACCCCUGCAGUUGAACAAGGAGGCCUUGUCACUUGUUGCAGGCGGGAGAACACAGGCCAUGAGAAAUCAGGGUGUCCAGUAAGAGGGCGCUGGGAGGAAGCUUUGGAGGGCUGGGCUGUGGCUGGGUGACUUAAGGAGGGUCUAAGGAAGCAGAGAUCCACUCGAGACUGGGUGCCAUACUGUUAGAAAGUAGCACAAGACCAAAAAAAAAGUCGUGGCUCAGUGGGAUCUAACCCAACUAGUAUCUAUGAGGACAUGGGUUCGAUCCCUGGCCUCGCUCAGUGGGUUAAGGAUCUGGCAUUGCGGUGAGCUAUGGUGUAGCUUUAGUUCAUUGUUUCUGACUGCUCCAUAGUCCAUGUAGAGUAUACACUGCAGCAUCUUUUAGAAUAACGGUUUGAAAUAAACUUAGUAUUGCACACGAGGGCAUGGUCACGUAACCUUGGCACAUGAGCAGUGUGAAAUAGCACGUCUCCAGUCAUAGUUCUGCAUGACAUGGGAAACUUGUUUACAGCAACGUUAAGGGAGAGAAGCAGGCAAAAUUGUUUCUGCACUGUGAAAACAACCACAUGAAAACACACAUGAAAACAGCCGGUGGCUGGAAAAGAUCACAGAACGACAAAAACAGCUCUAGAGCAAUAUACCGACCUGUUGCCUGCCCCGGGGCUGGCAUCUGGGUCUUCCUCCUCAACGGUCCUCUCUGCCAGGUGUGGCCUGCAGUCAACUUACUUAGCUGCAUUUCACCCCCCUCAUGGGAAAUGGGAUUGAAAUUAAAAAAACCCUUCAGAAGGCUGAGAUAGAUCUAGUGCUGCUGAAUUUAACUAUCUUCAAGAUUUAAACCAAAAACCCUAAGUGCAUUAAAGUUAUGUAUACUCAUAAUGCAUGCAUAUUCAGAUAUAUAUGUGUAUGUAGGAGUAUAUAUAUGUCUAUACGUGUAUAGACAUAUAUAUACACAUACAUAUAUCUUUUGCAUUUUAAUUAACAUUAUAAAGGGAAAUGUUUCUGUUUUUGAAUAUCUUUUGAAGAAAAAUAAAUAUACCCCAAAUACCAUUUGUGCAAAAAAAGAAAAAAGAGAGACAUGAACUUGUGAAUGGCAAGAUCCUGUUAGAAUAGACAGACUUAACAGUAAUUGCCCCUGGGGAAGAGGGCUGGAGAUCUGGGUUAUUAGCAGGGAGUCAUACUUUUCUUUAAAGUAUGAGACAGAUGUUUAUUACCACCUUUUCUAAAACCGUGUACAAUUAAAAUUUUAUUUUAAAAGUUUAAAUCUUCAAAUUUCAUGACUCUAACUUUUUAAAUAACGCUUUUAAAAUGUCUUAACACAUUGCAAAUUGUCUUUCAAAGCAGAUGCAUAUUUUGAGCCUCAAAUUGUGCACCUCUUCGUAGUGACAAGGACUAACCCCAAGUUGAGGACUGCUUUACCUGUGUCACGAAGCACACAGCACACUAGAUUCGGGCAUUACUUCCAACGCAGGAUGCAAAUAAUAAUCAAGGUACGAUGACCAGAGUAGCAUUAGGAUUUGGACGUGGAUUCGCUCCAGGCUUUCCCUUCUGCCAGGUGUGUGCGAGUCCACCAGCCUUGGGGUCCCCACUCCCCCACUGGGAAGACCCUGGGCCGCUGCACGCAGAGACCCGGCGCCCCGGGCUGAAGCGAUCCGCCC
rnacentral:lncRNA from 1 species